AUGUCUAACACAAGGAGAAGACCCUCUAGCCUCUACGAGCGCUUGCCCAAGCUAGCAUCACCGGCAGCAACUACGCAAUCAUGUCCUUGCCCCCAGCCCCUGAAACCUCUCACCAACAUGUACUUCCUCCCAUCUUGUCCUCAUGAAGGUUCAAAGUGCCAACCAACGAUUCUCUUCCAUCUUUUUCAUAAUUGGUGGGCUAAUCUUCUAAUGUUUUGCCCCCAGCAAUUGAUUCCUCACAAAAUUUACGUCCCUGUUUUGCCUCCUACUCACGCUAAUUCAUGUGGAGCUAGCAACUUAAAUUGGGAAUGGAACAAUUCCUCAUUGAUUUCAGGCGCUCUUUAA
rnacentral:rRNA from 1 species